AACGAACGCUGGCGGCAUGCCUAACACAUGCAAGUCGAACGAGAUCUUCGGGUCUAGUGGCGCACGGGUGCGUAACGCGUGGGAAUCUGCCCUUUGGUUCGGAAUAACAGUUGGAAACGACUGCUAAUACCGGAUGAUGACGAAAGUCCAAGGAUUUAUCGCCAGAGGAUGAGCCCGCGUAGGAUUAGCUAGUUGGUGUGGUAAAGGCGCACCAAGGCGACGAUCCUUAGCUGGUCGGAGAGGAUGAUCAGCCACACUGGGACUGAGACACGGCCCAGGCACCUGCGGGAGGGAGCAAUGGGGAAUAUUGGACAAUGGGCGAAAGCCUGAUACUGCAAUGCAGCGUGAGUGAUGAAGACCUUAGGGUUGUAAAGCUCUUUUACCCGGGAUGAUAAUGACAGUACCGGGAGAAUAAGCUCCGGCUAACUCCGUGCCAGCCGCCGCCGUAA
rnacentral:rRNA from 1 species